UGCGGCUGAGUCUUUGGGCAAUUCCCUGGGCUCAGGGAAGGGAGGAAGGAAGAGAGAAUGGGAGGGUCUAUUUCAAACAUAGAAACAUCCCACAAUUUGUCAACUCACAUCCUCCAUUUACGUUGUUUAUAUCCUCUCCCUUUGAGCCCUUCAACAGCCUCUUUUAUGAAAACAAGGAUUGACCCUGCAUCCUCAUGGAUACUAGUCAGGUUCAUUACCAUUGAACACUGGAGAAAUAAGCUACUUAAUUCCUGAGCAACAAUGGGAAUUCUGAGAUUUUUCUAAUUGUUUUUCAUUCUGACAUCUUCAUGAUCCAUCAGCAAAUUCCUUUAGUGUUAAUAUUCUGAACCCAAAUUUUCAGAAAUGAUAGAAGUUAUUGAUUUUUUGCUUCUUUAUUUUUAUUAAGUAGCUGGUGCACAAAGUUAGUUUUGAAUGUGCUAGAUAGUGGUUUGAUAUUUGCUUACAUCAUGAGAUGAUCACCAUGAUAGCUCUAGUAACCAUUUGUUCCCAAACUUACUACAGUAUUAUUAAUCAUAUUUCUCAUGCUACAUAUUAUAUUGCCAUGGCUUUUUAUUAUUUAACUGAAAGUUUGUACCCAUUAAUCCUUAAACUUACUUCACCCUUUACCUCCCCAGUCUGGCACCACCCCCCUUCCACCUUUCCCCUCUUUUGGCAACCACCUGUUUGUUCUCUGCAUCUAUAAGUCUUGUUUUCAUACUGUUUUAUUUAUUUUGCUUUUUUUAGAAUCCACAUAUAAGUGAGAUCUUGUGGUAUUUCUCUGACUUAACUUAGCAUAAUAAUCUCUAGAUCUAUCCAUGUUGUCACAAGUGGCAAGAUUUCAUUAUUUUUUACAGCUGAAUAAUAUUCUAUUAUAUAUAUGCCAUAUCUUCUUUUGCCAUUCUUCUAUCAGUGGACACUUAGGUUGCUUCCAUAUAUUGGCUAUUGUAAAGAUUAUUGCAAUAAACAUUGCUAUGCAUAUAUCUUUUUGAGUUAAUAUUUUUUCUUUGAAUAAAUACCCAGAAGUGGACUUGCUGUAUCAUAUGGUAGUUCUAUUUAUAAUUUUUUUGCUGAAUUUCCAUGCUGUCUUCCAUAGUAGCUGUACCAGUUUACAUUCGCACCAACAGUGCCCAUCCUUGCCAACUCUUGCUAUUUUUUGUCUUUUUGAUGAUAGUCAUUCUGAGAAGAGUGAAGUUCUAUCUCAUUAUGGUUAUGAUUUGCAUUUCUCAUUGGUUAGUGAUGUUCAACAUCUUUUCGUGUCUUUGGAAAAAUGUCUAUUCAGGUCCUCUGACCAUUUUUUAACUGGGUUGUUUGUCUUAUUGAUGUUGAGUUAUAUGAAUUCUUUGCUAUUUUGGAUUUUAACCCCUUGUGGAUAUAUUGCUUGCAAAUAUUUUCUCCCAUUCAGUAGGCUGCCUUUUUGUUUUGUUGAUAAUUUUCUUCACUGUAACAAACCUUUUUAGUUAGACGUAACCCCAUUUAUUUAUUUUUGCUUUUGUUGCCCUUGCCUGAGGAGACGUAUCAAACAAAAAAUGUUGCUAAGACUCAUGUCAAAGAGUUUACAGCAUACGUUUUCUUCUAGAAGUUUUAUGGUUCUUGAUCUUAUACUUAUUUAAUCCAUUUUGAGUUUAUUUUUGUGUAUGUUGUGAGAAAGUAGUUAAUAGGAUUCUUUUGCAUAUACCUGUCCAGUUUUCCCAGCACAAUUUAUUGAAGAGGAAAUCUUUCCCCCAUUAUAUAUUCUUAUCUCCUUUGUCAUUGAUUAAUUGACUAUAAGUGUGUGGGUUUAUGCUUCAACUUUACUGAACUCAUUGAUGAGUUCUAAUAGUUUUUUGGUAGUGUCUUUAGGAUUUCCUAUAUAUGGUAUCAUGUCAUCUAUAAUCAGGGACAGUUUUACUUCUUCUUUCUAAUUUGAAUUCAUUUUAUUUAUUCAUUUUUGUCUGAUUGCUCUAGCUAGGACUUCCAAUACUAUAUUGUAGAAAAGUGAUGGGAGUGAUCAUCUUUGUCUUGUUCCUGAUCUUAGAGGAAGUGCUGUCUUAUUUGGUGGCUGCUGGCUCAUUGGUUUGGGCCAGGUCCUGGUAUGUCUGGCUUCAUAGACUGGGGAAUCCUGGGGGUGGUGCCAGCCUUCUAGUGUGGGGGGCUCUGCCCUGGGGUGACUGGAUAUGGGAACCAGGGGGCCUGGAACUGGUGCUGGUCUGCUUUUGGUUGCUAAGUCCCUGGUGUUAAUAGAUUAGACAGAGGACUCCAAAUGACUGUCUCCAGAGGGGAGUUCCAGUUGCCUCCUACUUUUCCAGGAGGUGCUCCAAGAUUAGCAAGUGGGUCUGACCCAGGCUGCUUUCCAAUUUCUGCCUUGCUGAGACUCAGAGUGCAUGAUUUUGCACAUGCCCUUUAAGAGCAGAGUAUUUUUUUCCUUACAGCUCUGUUGCUUCCCUGUGUGUAAGACCCACUGGCCUUCAAUGCAAAACUUCUGGGAGCUCAUCUUCCAAGUCCAGGACCCACCCCAGACUGAGGAGCUUGAUGUGGGGCUCAGACCCCUCAUUCUCUGGGGAGAAACUCUACAGUUAUCAUUAUCCUUCUAUUUAUAGGUUGUUUAUCCAAGGGGGCAGGUGUUGAUUAUACCAUGUCUCCAUCCCUCCUGCCCGUCUCAUUGUGAUUCCUUUUUGGUAUCUCGAGUUGUGUAAAAUCGUUGCUGUUAGUUUUUGAGUAGUCAUCAUAAAUGGUUGUUCUAUAAGUAGUUGUAAUUUUGUUGUGCCCAUGGGAAAAGAGAUCAGAGAUUUCCUACUCCAUCAUCGUGGCCACAACUUAUUGAUGUCUUUUGAAGUGAAAUAUUAGCUUCGUAUUUUUCCUACCAUUUAAAAAAACUGUUUCUAGGAGUUCCCAUCGUGGCUCAGUGGUUAAUGAAUCCGACUAGGAACCAUGAGGUUGCGGGUUCGAUCCCUAACCUUGCUCAGUGGGUUAAGGAUCUGACGCUGUCAUGAGCUGUGGUGUAGGCCACAGACGCGGGUCAGAUCCUGCGUUGCUGUGGCUCUGCGUUGCUGUGGCCAGCGGCUACAGCUCCGAUUCGACCCCUAGCCUGGGAACCUCCAUAUGCCGUAGGAGCUGCCCCAGAAAAAGGC
ensembl:lncRNA